rnacentral:rRNA from 1 species
UACGUAGGCAGCGAGCGUUGUUCGGAGUUACUGGGCGUAAAGGGUGCGUAGGCGGUUGUUUAAGUUUGGUGUGAAAUCUCCCGGCUCAACUGGGAGGGUGCGCCGAAUACUGAAUGACUAGAGUGCGGGAGAGGAUAGUGGAAUUCCUGGUGUAGCGGUGAAAUGCGUAGAUAUCAGGAGGAACACCGGUGGUGUAGACGGCUAUCGUGGACCGUAACUGACGCUGAGGCACGAAAGCGUGGGUAGCAAACAGG